rnacentral:rRNA from 1 species
AGUGGACGCUGGCGGUAGGCCUAACACAUGCAAGUCGAACGGCAGCACAGUAAGAGCUUGCUCUUACGGGUGGCGAGUGGCGGACGGGUGAGGAAUACAUCGGAAUCUACUUUUUCGUGGGGGAUAACGUAGGGAAACUUACGCUAAUACCGCAUACGACCUACGGGUGAAAGCAGGGGAUCUUCGGACCUUGCGCGAUUGAAUGGGCCGAUGUCGGAUUAGCUAGUUGGCGGGGUAAAGGCCCACCAAGGCGACGAUCCGUAGCUGGUCUGAGAGGAUGAUCAGCCACACUGGAACUGAGACACGGUCCAGACUCCUACGGGAGGCAGCAGUGGGGAAUAUUGGACAAUGGGCGCAAGCCUGAUCCAGCCAUACCGCGUGGGUGAAGAAGGCCUUCGGGUUGUAAAGCCCUUUUGUUGGGAAAGAAAAGCAGCAGGUUAAUACCCCGCUGUUCUGACGGUACCCAAAGAAUAAGCACCGGCUAACUUCGUG